GCCACCUGGCGACAGGGAGCGAAUCCCAAACCACGUCUCAGUUCGGAUCGGAGUCUGCAACCCGACUCCGUGAAGCUGGAUUCGCUAGUAAUCGCGCAUCAGCCAUGGCGCGGUGAAUACGUUCCCGGGCCUUGUACACACCGCCCGUCAAGCCAUGGGAGCCGGGGGUACCUGAAGUCCGUAACCGCGAGGAUCGGCCUAGGGUAAAACUGGUGACUGGGGCUAAGUCGUAACAAGGUAUC
rnacentral:rRNA from 1 species